ACCCAAGGUGGUUGGCGGUGGUUGAAGGUGGUAGGAGGUGGACAAGGACGGGGACGUGGAAGACAUGGAGAACAAGGUGGACGAGGAGGACGAGGAUUUGUGCUCGUAUUGGACGUAUGACCAGAGGUGGUUAGCGGUGGUCGUUGGAGGUUGUUGGCAGUAGUUGCGGUGAUGAAGGUGCACAAGGAAAAGCACGACGAUUACGAGGACUUGUGCACUGUAUGACCCGAGGUGGUUAUCGGUGGUUGUUGGAGGUGGUUGACGGUGG